rnacentral:lncRNA from 1 species
AAAGUAGGCCUACGUGGAGCCGACCUGCCAUUGGGUAAACGCAAGGGAGGAGAAAAGGUGGGGCAGGGGUGAUUUGGGUGGAUGGAUAGGAGGGCUUCCGACCUGCGUUAGGCGGGUCAGUUAAUCUUCAGUAACUCCUUGAUGCGUUUGAUAGUCCUCCCAACUUAAGCCUUCCUUACUGCCUCCAGGAGAUACAGUCUUCUGUUCUUUUUGUCAUAGUUGUUUAUUUUUCAUGAAUCGCUGUUUUUGAGCAUAGGGCACUUACCUCUUUCUGUGUCCCCAGCCCUACCACAGUGCCAGGCUCUCAAUAUGCUCGAUAAAUAUUAGGCGAUUGAUUUGUAAAUCGUGUAUCAUUUUCAUGUAUCUAAUACUUUUUUAAAAAUUGAUUAAAGCCCAUAAGCCCAUAUUUUAUUCCAGAUGUCCUUAGUUUUCGACCUGGUAUUCUUUUCCAUUCCAGGAUCCUGUCCGGAGUACAUCACCAUGUCUUCCAGGCUCCUCUGGACCGUGACCGUUUCUCAAACUUUCCUUGUUUUUGAUAACCUUAAUAGUUUUGAAGCGACUUAUUGGUCAUUUGGUCAAAUGUCCUUCAAUUGGGUUUUGCCUGUAUUUUUCUCAUGCAUUAACUGAGGUUAUGGGUUUUUCUUGAGUUAAGAGGCUCCAUACCUACCUAACAUCUAUCUUCUCAAGAACUCUGCCAGGGAAGGAGUAGUUUCUGUGUUUCAUAAACAGACUGAGACUCAAAGAGGCUAAGUAAACUACCUGAAGCCAUAUAUAGCAACACACAAUGACGGAUGUGAGAUUCAAACUUGGAUUUAUCUGGCUCCAAAAUUUCUAGUUUUUUUUUUUUUUUUUUUCCCACUACAGCAAAACUAAGGAGAAGAGACAGAGAAAACACUAGAUCUGAAUAACAAAGGAUGCAUACUUAAGCAAACUAAGGCAUAUAUAGUUAUCACUAAAUGCUCAACCUGGAAAGAAUACUGGAUUGCAGUCUGCUUUUUCUGUAAAGACAAUAGUAUUAUAAAACCGAAAGAGACAACAGGGAAUAUUUCCCACUCAACUAAGCAUAUCUAAAAGCACAUUUGAAGUUUGGAGACAAUAUUCUGUGUUAUUUUAAGAAAAGAUUCUAUAGCAUUAUUACCUGGUGGUAAGAAAAUAACAUGUAAAAGAAAAGGUAAUAAGAAUAAAAAAAAUAAGUAAAAGUAUGUGAACAUGCUAGACCUGGUUAUACAACUCAACUGUUGAGAAUGCAUUUUUGAAGUUGCCUGCAUGGUUGCUGCAAGCGUUCUUCAGUAUUUAGUAUAUGAAGACAGGCAUAUGCUCUGGCCAUUUCCAGAAAAGCCAAGGCUAUCCUGUAUAUUCUAGCCAUCUGUUGUUAGGUGAAAUGCGUGAAUGGCAUAGAGAAAUGUUAUGGAGAGUGAAUGUUACAUGCCUCUGAGAUACAAUAGAAAAGAAGCCCUUGAUUUAAUAUUUUGGUUCUUAGUUUGACUGUGAUUUAUAGGGAGUGAUAUUGCCCUGGGCCUUUCUGUCUCCUUUGUAUCAGGAAAUGAUUUGGUUUAGAGAAAAGCAGGCAAAGGUUUUAGUGGGACUCCCACCAGGAUAAUGGCCUUCUUUGUUCCUAGCUACUUCUUGAGGUGACUAUGGCUAUCCUUUAGGCCCCAAGCAUGUGGACAGAGUCGAGAACAGGGUUAAGGAGAAGAUUUAAGCAAAAUCUCUUUAGUCACUGAGCAAGAAGCACCUAUAAGUUGCAUUUUGUAAACUCAGAGGAUUUGGUCUGUGGUGAUCUAGCUACAUAAGAACUGGAAAUGCCUAGGUUUAAAAUCGGGGUAUAAAGCAACCCAGAGCUUGUUAGAUAUGCAAGAUCUCUGGCCCUAUCCCCAAACUACUGUCC